GACGAACGCUGGCGGCGUGCCUAAUACAUGCAAGUCGAACGCAGUGGGGACGGGUGAGUAACACGUGGGUAACCUCCCAUCAGAGGGGAUAACAUUUGGAAACCGGUGCUAAACCGAUACUGAUGGAUGAACCCGCGGGGCAUUAGCUAGUGGGGAAGGUAACGGCUCACCAAGGCCACGAUGCAUAGCCGACCUGAGAGGAGGAUCGGCCACACUGGGACUGAGACACGGCCCAGACUCCUACGGGAGGCAGCAGUGGGGAAUCUUCGGCAAUGGGCGAAAGUCUGACCGAGCAACGCCGCGUGAAUGAAGAAGGUUUUCGGAUCGUAAAGCUCUGUUGUUAGAGAAGCGGUAUCUACCCAGAAAGCCACGGCUAACUACGUGCCAGCAGCCGCGGUAAUAC
rnacentral:rRNA from 1 species